UGGCGAACGGGUGAGUAACACGUGGGUGAUCUGCCCUGCACUCUGGGAUAAGCCUGGGAAACUGGGUCUAAUACCGGAUAGGACCGCACUUUAGUGUGUGUGGUGGAAAGUUUUUUCGGUGUAGGAUGAGCUCGCGGCCUAUCAGCUUGUUGGUGGGGUAAUGGCCUACCAAGGCGGCGACGGGUAGCCGGCCUGAGAGGGUGUACGGCCACAUUGGGGCUGAGAUACGGCCCAG
rnacentral:rRNA from 1 species